rnacentral:rRNA from 1 species
GUCGAGAAUAAUUCACAAUGGACGAAAGUCUGAUGGUGCAACGCCGCGUGGAGGAUGACGGUCUUCGGAUUGUAAACUCCUGUCAUCCGGGAGUAAGACCUGGCUGUGAAUAGCAGACAGGGUUGAUAGUACCGGAAGAGGAAGGGACGGCUAACUUCGUGCCAGCAGCCGCGGUAAUACGAAGGUCCCAAGCGUUGUUCGGAAUCACUGGGCGUAAAGGGAGCGUAGGCUGCGCGGUAAGUCAGGUGUGAAAUCCCGGGGCUCAACCCCGGAACUGCACCCGAUACUGCCGUGCUAGAGGGUUGGAGAGGUGACUGGAAUUCUCGGUGUAGCAGUGAAAUGCGUGGAUAUCGAGAGGAACACUCGUGGCGAAGGCGAGUCACUGGACAACAUCUGACGCUGAGGCUCGAAGGCCAGGGGAGCAAAAGGGAUUAGAUACCCGAGUAGUCC